rnacentral:rRNA from 1 species
GACGAACGCUGGCGGCGUGCUUAACACAUGCAAGUCGAACGGUGAAGCGCCUUCCUUUUUGGUGGGUGUGGAUGAGUGGCGAACGGGUGAGUAACACGUGAGUAACCUGCCCCCUUCUUCUGGAUAACCGCAUGAAAGUGUGGCUAAUACGGGAUAUUCUGGGUCUGUCGCAUGAUGGGUCUGGGAAAGAUAUUGUUUCGGUGGGGGAUGGGCUCGCGGCCUAUCAGCUUGUUGGUGGGGUGAUGGCCUACCAAGGCGGUGACGGGUAGCCGGCCUGAGAGGGUGGACGGUCACACUGGGACGGAGACACGGCCCAGACUCCUACGGGAGGCAGCAGUGGGGAAUAUUGCACAAUGGGAGGAAGCCUGAUGCAGCGACGCCGCGGGAGGGAUGGAGGCCUUCGGGUUGUGAACCUCUUUCGCCAGUGAAGCAGGCCUGCCUCGUUUGUGGGUGGGUUGACGGUAGCUGGAUAAGAAGCGCCGGCUAACUACGUG